GAUGAACGCUGGCGGCGUGCCUAACACAUGCAAGUCGAGCGAUUUACUUCGGUAAAGAGCGGCGGACGGGUGAGUAACGCGUGGGUAACCUGCCCUGUACACACGGAUAACAUACCGAAAGGUAUGCUAAUACGAGAUAAUAUGCUUUUAUCGCAUGGUAGAAGUAUCAAAGCUUUUGCGGUACAGGAUGGACCCGCGUCUGAUUAGCUAGUUGGUGAGGUAACGGCUCACCAAGGCGACGAUCAGUAACCGACCUGAGAGGGUGAUCGGCCACAUUGGAACUGAGACACGGUCCAAACUCCUACGGGAGGCAGCAGUGGGGAAUAUUGCACAAUGGGCGAAAGCCUGAUGCAGCAACGCCGCGUGAGCGAUGAAGGCCUUCGGGUCGUAAAGCUCUGUCCUCAAGGAAGAUAAUGACGGUACUUGAGGAGGAAGCCCCGGCUAACUACGUG
rnacentral:rRNA from 1 species